AUACCUACGGGAGGCAGCAGUGAGGAAUAUUGGUCAAUGGGCGGGAGCCUGAACCAGCCAAGUCGCGUGAGGGAAGACGGUCCUACGGAUUGUAAACCUCUUUUGCCGGGGAGCAACGGGGUCCUUGCGAGGGCCCGAUGAGAGUACCCGGAGAAAAAGCAUCGGCUAACUCCGUGCCAGCAGCCGCGGUAAUACGUAGGGAGCAAGCGUUAUCCGGAUUUAUUGGGUGUAAAGGGUGCGUAGACGGGAAGGCAAGUUAGUUGUGAAAUCCCUCGGCUUAACUGAGGAAC
rnacentral:rRNA from 1 species